UCCUCUCAUGAGCUGGACGAUUGUUCAAG
rnacentral:piRNA from 1 species